rnacentral:rRNA from 1 species
UGCGUAGGUGGUUAAUUAAGUCAGAUGUGAAAUCCCUAGGCUCAACCUAGGAAUUGCAUUUGAAACUGUUUAGCUAGAGUAUAGUAGAGGGAAGUGGAAUUUCCGGUGUAGCGGUGAAAUGCGUAGAUAUCGGAAGGAACACCAGUGGCGAAGGCGACUUCCUGGACUGUUACUGACACUGAGGCACGAAAGCGUGGGGAGCGAACAGGAUUAGAUACCCUGGUAGUCC